rnacentral:tRNA from 3 species
UGAUGUGGCACAGUCGGUAGCGCACCUCAUUGGUAGUGAGGAGGUCACGGGUUCGAUUCCCGUCAUCA